GGUGGUUCUCGGGUGAUGCACCCCGGAAUUGGGCUCCCUCCUUUCUGGUUCCUGGUGUGUCGCCCGAGAACUGCA
rfam:Myotis lucifugus cont2.30126, whole genome shotgun sequence.